rnacentral:misc_RNA from 1 species
GAAAAAGGCUUGUCUUAAGCACCAAGUUGCCCAAGUCUCCAAGUUUUUUCUUCAAGCAGACAUAGUUCGGCUAUAUCCGCUAUCCACUGAGCUAAUUAACACUGCUUAAAGAAAAAGACAGCCAUGCACGAUCAGAACUCACAUAAUGAUACCACCCCAACCACUGAAUCACAAUCCAAGCGUUGGAUUCUCCAAAAAAACUUAAACUAAUAAGCACAAGGUUUAUUCAGAAACAAAUUAGAAUAUCAAAAAAACAUCGAUUAUCUUCUUAGUUUGGCAUACAAAGCGAAAGAAUUAGCUCGGCACACAGAGAGAGUGUGGAUUUUGCAACUGAAAAAAUCAAAGCACCAAA